CGAAUGCUGACAUAAGUAACGAUAAAGCGGGUGAAAAGCCCGCUCGCCGGAAGACCAAGGGUUCCUGUCCAACGUUAAUCGGGGCAGGGUGAGUCGACCCCUAAGGCGAGGCCGAAAGGCGUAGUCGAUGGGAAACAGGUUAAUAUUCCUGUACUUGGUGUUACUGCGAAGGGGGGACGGAGAAGGCUAUGUUGGCCGGGCGACGGUUGUCCCGGUUUAAGCGUGUAGGCUGGUUUUCCAGGCAAAUCCGGAAAAUCAAGGCUGAGGCGUGAUGACGAGGCACUACGGUGCUGAAGCAACAAAUGCCCUGCUUCCAGGAAAAGCCUCUAAGCAUCAGGUAACAUCAAAUCGUACCCCAAACCGACACAGGUGGUCAGGUAGAGAAUACCAAGGCGCUUGAGAGAACUCGGGUGAAGGAACUAGGCAAAAUGGUGCCGUAACUUCGGGAGAAGGCACGCUGAUAUGUAGGUGAAGCGACUUGCUCGUGGAGCUGAAAUCAGUCGAAGAUACCAGCUGGCUGCAACUGUUUAUUAAAAACACAGCACUGUGCAAACACGAAAGUGGACGUAUACGGUGUGACGCCUGCCCGGUGCCGGAAGGUUAAUUGAUGGGGUCAGCGCAAGCGAAGCUCUUGAUCGAAGCCCCGGUAAACGGCGGCCGUAACUAUAACGGUCCUAAGGUAGCGAAAUUCCUUGUCGGGUAAGUUCCGACCUGCACGAAUGGCGUAAUGAUGGCCAGGCUGUCUCCACCCGAGACUCAGUGAAAUUGAACUCGCUGUGAAGAUGCAGUGUACCCGCGGCAAGACGGAAAGACCCCGUGAACCUUUACUAUAGCUUGACACUGAACAUUGAGCCUUGAUGUGUAGGAUAGGUGGGAGGCUUUGAAGUGUGGACGCCAGUCUGCAUGGAGCCGACCUUGAAAUACCACCCUUUAAUGUUUGAUGUUCUAACGUUGACCCGUAAUCCGGGUUGCGGACAGUGUCUGGUGGGUAGUUUGACUGGGGCGGUCUCCUCCUAAAGAGUAACGGAGGAGCACGAAGGUUGGCUAAUCCUGGUCGGACAUCAGGAGGUUAGUGCAAUGGCAUAAGCCAGCUUGACUGCGAGCGUGACGGCGCGAGCAGGUGCGAAAGCAGGUCAUAGUGAUCCGGUGGUUCUGAAUGGAAGGGCCAUCGCUCAACGGAUAAAAGGUACUCCGGGGAUAACAGGCUGAUACCGCCCAAGAGUUCAUAUCGACGGCGGUGUUUGGCACCUCGAUGUCGGCUCAUCACAUCCUGGGGCUGAAGUAGGUCCCAAGGGUAUGGCUGUUCGCCAUUUAAAGUGGUACGCGAGCUGGGUUUAGAACGUCGUGAGACAGUUCGGUCCCUAUCUGCCGUGGGCGCUGGAGAACUGAGGGGGGCUGCUCCUAGUACGAGAGGACCGGAGUGGACGCAUCACUGGUGUUCGGGUUGUCAUGCCAAUGGCACUGCCCGGUAGCUAAAUGCGGAAGAGAUAAGUGCUGAAAGCAUCUAAGCACGAAACUUGCCCCGAGAUGAGUUCUCCCUGACUCCUUGAGAGUCCUGAAGGAACGUUGAAGACGACGACGUUGAUAGGCCGGGUGUGUAAGCGCAGCGAUGCGUUGAGCUAACCGGUACUAAUGAACCGUGAG
rnacentral:rRNA from 1 species